rnacentral:ncRNA from 2 species
AGAGUUAAAAAGUACGUGAAAUUGUUAAAAGGGAAACGUUUGAAACCAGUAUUGCUUGUAAAAAAUCAGCUAGAGGUAUCCAAAGAUUUUAGUUCAAGAGUCUUGGGCUAGGAUUCCGGAAGAUGCCUCUGGUGCACUUUUUUAUUAGCAAGUCAACAUCGGUUUUGUGCUCUGGAUAAAGACUAAUGGGAGGUAGCUUUCUCUUCGGAGCAAGUGUUAUAAACUUUAGUUCAUACAGAGUGCUGAGACCGACGUUUCGCAGCACGCCGUAAGGCUGAGUCCUUUUAAUAUUGGCGAUUUCUCUUCUGCGAACAACUUGUUGAUCGUAGUUGAAUCGUUUCCACUAUUAAGAGUGACUGCAUCCGUGCUAAGGAUGUUGACGAAAUGGUUUUAAAUGACC